GUGUCAUUCAACCAAAAUUAGCUCCAGGUAUAUGUGUGUGUCGCUGUGUGUAGAAGGAACAAGAAGGAGGCAAUUUCCUACAAAUUGUUAGUGAUUAUCAAAGAUUUUGGGCUUCAAAAUCAUCUUCAAUCUAAACAAGAACAAGUGGUGAGCAUUCUCUAGUAUUAAAAAGCUUUUUUUAAGAUCCUGAUUGGAAAUGGGUAUACUGAAGCGUGCAAAUCAACGGGUCAAGGUUGAAGAUAAGCUAACAAGAACACUACGGGCGAAGAGGUAAGUAAUCUUGUAUCUAAUUAAAAUAAAAGUUCAGUGAAUUAUUAGCAUGUUUAAUAUUUAUAAUUUAUCAAAGAGGAUACAGGUUGUUUUGGCUUGUAUAUUGUAUUUUUGGUACGUGACUUUAAAGAAAGUGAAAACGAGUCGUUUCGACCCGUUACCAAUGUAAGUACUUACUUGAAUCCUCUUUAAAUACAACGUCUUUAGUUUAUGAGUUUUAUAUAGGUUCGUUGUAAAUAUUUGGAAGGAUUAGUCAACAAUUUAUAAAGGAAUAUGUUGUAGAGAUUUCAAAUUUAUGAUUAAAUCUUGUAAGGUUAAAUGAGUUUUUGAUAUGCUAUGAGUGGAAAUUAAACCACAUAAGGUAGAUUUAAGUAUGAUACAUUUGUAUAGGAUGAAUGAAGUAUAACAAAUGAUUGGUUUGAAGUUUUGAACUAGAAAUGGGUCAAAACUGUUUAAAAUUGGAACAAAUAUACUAAGUGCAGGAAUCGGAGUAUCAAAAGCUGAAGUUGGCCUUCCAAACGCCAGAUCAGAGUUUCAAACGCCGGUUUGUUAUGUCGAACGCCACACCAAAACGCCAAUUUCUUUACUUGUUCCGACGUUAAGCUUUAUUCAUUCAGUUUACUUGGUUUGCAUGAUUAUACUAAUGUUUAUAAGGUAUAAAUAUGUGUAGGUAGAGCUCCGCAGUAAGGAUGCACGUGGUCAAGGUCUCGGUUCGGAUUAAAUUAAGAUGCUUUCUUUUGUAUAAAACCUUAGAUUUAACCAAACUAUUAAGUUAAGAAAUCUUUUGUAUGUGACCAUAUAUAUAAACUUACAAGUCAAGCUCGUUAGAUGUCUUUUGAAAUGAAGGAACAAAAUGUAUUUUGAACUCAAUGUAUAUUUAGUUAAAAAAAAAUUGGGACCGUAUUCCG
rnacentral:lncRNA from 1 species